UACGUAGGGUGCAAGCGUUGUCCGGAAUUAUUGGGCGUAAAGAGCUCGUAGGCGGUUUGUCGCGUCUGCUGUGAAAACCCCGAGGCUCAACCUCGGGCCUGCAGUGGGUACGGGCAGACUAGAGUGCGGUAGGGGAGAUUGGAAUUCCUGGUGUAGCGGUGGAAUGCGCAGAUAUCGAGGAGGAACACCAAUGGCGAAGGCAGAUCUCUGGGCCGUAACUGACGCUGGAGGAGCGAAAGCAUGGGGAGCGAACAGG
rnacentral:rRNA from 1 species